rnacentral:rRNA from 1 species
UGGAGACAGGUGCUGCAUGGCUGUCGUCAGCUCGUGUCGUGAGAUGUUGGGUUAAGUCCCGCAACGAGCGCAACCCUUGUCAUUAGUUGCUACAUUCAGUUGGGCACUCUAAUGAGACUGCCGGUGACAAACCGGAGGAAGGUGGGGAUGACGUCAAGUCCUCAUGGCCCUUAUAGGUGGGGCUACACACGUCAUACAAUGGAUGGUACAAAGGGUCGCCAACCCGCGAGGGGGAGCCAAUCCCAUAAAGCCAUUCGUAGUCCGGAUCGCAGUCUGCAACUCGACUGCGUGAAGUCGGAAUCGCUAGUAAUCGUGGAUCAGAAUGUCACGGUGAAUACGUUCCCGGGUCUU